UAGGGAAUCUUCCGCAAUGGACGAAAGUCUGACGGAGCAACGCCGCGUGAGUGAUGAAGGUUUUCGGAUCGUAAAGCUCUGUUGUUAGGGAAGAACAAGUACCGUCGAAUAGGGCGGUACCUUGACGGUACCUAACCAGAAAGCCACGGCUAACUACGUGCCAGCAGCCGCGGUAAUACGUAGGUGGCAAGCGUUGUCCGGAAUUAUUGGGCGUAAAGCGCGCGCAGGUGGUUCCUUAAGUCUGAUGUGAAAGCCCACGGCUCAACCGUGGAGGGUCAUUGGAAACUGGGGAACUUGAGUGCAGAAGAGGAAAGUGGAAUUCCAAGUGUAGCGGUGAAAUGCGUAGAUAUUUGGAGGAACACCAGUGGCGAAGGCGACUUUCUGGUCUGUAACUGACACUGAGGCGCGAAAGCGUGGGGAGCAAACAGGAUUAGAUACCCUGGUAGUCCACGCCGUAAACGAUGAGUGCUAAGUGUUAGGGGGUUUCCGCCCCUUAGUGCUGCAGCUAACGC
rnacentral:rRNA from 1 species